GGGGAAGUGGUCUAGCGGUAAGACGCGGAGGGGCUUUGGCCAGAUAUCUCUCACUACUGGUCCAGGGCGAGUUCCAUCUCUACACUCAGUACCUUAACUCCGAGACGCGAGUUCGAUUCUCGCCUUCUCCA